rnacentral:rRNA from 1 species
GCCGGCGGCACUAGCGCGGUGGUCCCACCUGACCCCAUGCCGAACUCAGAAGUGAAACGCCGUAGCGCCGAUGGUAGUGGGUCUCCAUGUGAGUAGGGAACUUGUCA